CUUUGCCAGAUCAAGAAUAUCCUGCAAAAGUACUGGUAAGCAACUGCAUCUGUAAAUACCCAUAUGCAAAAGAACUUCUAUUAAGCAAACUUAAAAACUCAAGGUUAAUGAGACAUUAGAAAGUAAAACUAACUGAAACAUUGCAGUGUUGCAAGACAUAAAAUCUUUACCAACCUUCAGCAAUUCAGUAACACAAGUCAUUUGCAUCCAACCCAUUUCUGCAUAAAAUGACAUAAGUUUGCACAAAUAUAUGCAUGCUCAUGUACACAUGCAUAGACACAUAAAGAAAAGGAAUUAACCAUGAUUCAAUCAUCAGAAAAAUUACCAUAAACACAAGAAACUCACCAGCAUGCCUGAUGAGCAAAAACGCGUGCCAUGAUUACAUCAUUAUAG
rnacentral:misc_RNA from 1 species